rnacentral:lncRNA from 1 species
AUGCAUAGCCUAUUUUGCCCUUAUUUCUUUGCUAAAAGUAGUUGUAUAUCUUUAUGUAGAUGCAAAGAAGCUGAGAAGUAUUGGAGAGCAAAUAGAAUGUUUAAUGAAGAUCACUAUCUCUGUCACAACAUGAAUGAGAAGAGGCUUCAAUUGGUUGAAUCAGUAGCAGAAAUGGAAAGCUUCUUUUACUCGUAAAUGAAAGAAGAGACAGAGUGAGCAUUUUGUACCUUUUAAUAAAAAAAUAUUGAAUUCCAUUGAAGAAUUUUUCUGCCCCAAUUGAAAUAAUCAUCUGAUAUUUUUCUGCUGUAAUCCAUUCAUGUGGUGAGUGACAUUAACUAAUUUUAUCACUUUACAUUUUUGGGAAAAACUAAUUUUGAUCAUGAUAUAUUAUCCUUUUCAUGUGUUGCUGGAUUCAAUUUGCUAAUGCUUUAUUUUGUAUCUUUCCUCAUGACUACUUUUUCUUUCUUGUGCUCUCCUUGUCAAAUUUUUGUAUCAAGGUUAUGCUAGUCUUUUAAAAUAAAUUUGGUCAGGUGUUUUUUUUUCUAUUUCUAUAAUGGUUUUGAAAGAUGUAAAUUAUAUAACCUCAUAGAAUUUGUUGGCUAAAUAAUCUCAGAUUUGUAUUCCCUUUGUGGGAAACGUUUUGACUUUGGACUCCACUUAUCUAUAGUUAUAGAAUUAUUCAAAAUUCUUAUUUAUUUUUGCAGCAAUUUUUGGACAGUUAUAUGUUUCUAGGAAUUUGUCCUAUUUAAGUUCAGUUUUAAAAUUAUUGGUAUAAUGUUGUUAAUGCUAUUUUAUUCUGUAUUUAAUCUUUUCAGUAUCAGAAAAUAUGGAUGCUUUCCGUUAUUAAUUAUGUUUAUUUGCGUCUUCUCUUUUUAAAAUCAUCCUUGAAUUUUGUCAAAGUUAUUAGUGUUAUCAAAUAAUUUUUUGGCUCUGUUAGUGUUCUG